rnacentral:ncRNA from 2 species
CUGGCCAGAUCCUCUCCUGCGGGCCACGCUGAGUUUAGGGCCCUACCCAGAAAGGUGCUGAUGAGGCAGGAUACAGAUUAUUAGCGCCUGACUGAGUGGGGUCCCAAUCAGUAACAGAACUGCCCGUGGCGUCCUUCAGCUCA